CCUCUCUCCUGGUGAAGUGAAGGACCAGGACCCAGUAGCCCGAGGAGAUGUCCUGCAGGCUGGGAGAAGAGGGAUGACACAAGAGUGUGCAGUUUGCUGGCAGAAAGUCUCUUACCCAUAAAGCAGAGCAUGAUCGAGGUGUUCACAGAGGCGCUGGAGGACCCGGUCGUGAUUUCGGAUGGCGGGAGUCUCAUCUUCGCAGGCGGCAAAGUAACUCUGCAACUACAGAGGGACACGGUUUCUCCGCUGCUGGUUUAGAGGCUCGUUUCAAAAGCUCACGGUUGAGCUACAAAAAUCGCCCAUUUUUAUCAAAAUCUGAUUGUAUUGGGAAAAAGCUAUGACAAAAAGGACAGACCUUUAAAGCUACACUUAUGAAGCUAUUUCAGUUUAACAAAUAAGUUCGCUGUAUGAAAAAAUAAAGUAUGUUAGGUAAUUUUCGGCUGUAAGGAAUUUUUAAACCAGAUGAUGAAGUCAUCUCAUUAUCUUUGGUGCUUCCGCACAGUGGAUUGUAAAGAGCGGUAUCUUCUGACAUGACUCAGCAGUGCUUGAAUGAGGUAAACACUGUACUCGUUCUUGGAACCCAGAGGAAUACAUUUUCAUAUGCACUGCCAUGCUCUUUGUGCAGCCUUUACAAUAGAAGGGAGGCUUGACUGCAUGCAUGUGGGACUGGUGGGCUACUAAUGGGAAAUCACUGAAACAGAUGACGAAAAAACUGCAUGAGUUCUUGGAAAGUGAAUGUAUGAGCGUGCAGAAAGUCCAGAUAAGAGGGUGCAACGUUGUCUGUCAAGUCGCGAGAGUCUCACAACCACAUCAGGCACAAUUGGUCUAAAAGAAAUGGUUGCACGACUAAUGUAAAUUAGGAGCAGAAAUCUACUGCGUUACGAAUGUGUGUCCUGAUCUAUUAGCUGCAGGCGUGUUUACGACGCAUGUUGCAGUGGGCAAACAAGACCAGUUCUGUACACGUAGCUCAACAAGAGAAACUGAAGCCACAACACAAUAGAACAAUUAAGGAAACGUAAAGAACAGUCGACAUGUGAUUUGAUCCCGUGAGUAAGGGAAAGGCCCACCCAGCUGGUCACGUCCCGCCGGGUUGAAAGUUGCCCUCUUUGGCGGACAAAAGAUGACCGAUCGCUAGCUUCAAGACAUCACGUGAAAACACUUAUAUUGCGUGACAACGUCUAAGCGCGCGGACCAACGGGACAACACUUACCUUUUUGACGGAUAAGGAGAUGUUUUCCAAUAUGCGGUCCUUUACUUUCAGUUGAUCCAUCACUGGUCUGCUGGCAGCUCGCGGCAGCCGGUCAGCUGACUUCAGAGAACAAGAGCGCUUGUUUUUGCUAAAGCUAACGCCCGGCUAGCUAAGCUAGCUAGCUAGCGAUCAUGAUGCUGUCCGCCAAAGUAACGACACGGCGCCGGCUGUCACUUGUACACGUUCCGCUCGACAGCACCGCUGCCACGCAACCGACCACGUUAACGCCGAGACGGUGGCACGACGAGUCCACGGAGAUGCGACCGACCCGGUUAUCCAGG